UGUUACAAGGAGGAAUGAAAGGAAACACCAAUAAAAUAUAAAUGGUGGAUGUGUGGAUUAUGGGGUAAAGGAUUAUUGAAUAAUUUUUUUACAAUUUCUGUAUUUUUAGCUUUUUACUUUUGUAAUAAAAAUCUGUUCACUAAGAUAAUUUUUUUUCAGGAUGAUGCUUCUUGAAAAUUGCUUAGUUGAAAAAUGGAGAGAUCAGCUUAGUAAAAGAUCCAUACAGUGGGAAGAGAGGCUGCAGGAACAGCGGAGAACAGUUCAGGACAAGAAGAAAACAGCCGGGCGCACCAGUCGUAGUAAUCCCCCCAAACCAAAGGGAAAGCCUCCUGCUCCCAAACCAACCAGUCCCAAGAAGAACAUUAAAACUAGGAGUGCCCAGAAGAGAACAAACCCGAAAAGAGAGUGAGCUAACUAGUUUCCAAAGCGGAGACUUCCGACUUCCUUACAGGAUGAGGCUGGGACAGUCUAUGUAAGGCCAUGUGCCCCUUGCCCUAACAACUCACUGCAGUGCUCUUCAUAGACACAUCUUGCAGCAUUUUUCUUAAGGCUAUGCUUCAGUUUUUCUUUGUAAGCCAUCACAAGCCAUAGUGGUAGGUUUGCCCUUUGGUACAG
rnacentral:sRNA from 1 species